AGCGGCGGACGGGUGAGUAACGCGUGGGUAACCUGCCCUGUACACACGGAUAACAUACCGAAAGGCAUGCUAAUACGAGAUAAUAUGCUUUUAUCGCAUGGUAGAAGUAUCAAAGCUUUUGCGGUACAGGAUGGACCCGCGUCUGAUUAGCUAGUUGGUAAGGUAACGGCUUACCAAGGCGACGAUCAGUAGCCGACCUGAGAGGGUGAUCGGCCACAUUGGAACUGAGACACGGUCCAAACUCCUACGGGAGGCAGCAGUGGGGAAUAUUGCACAAUGGGCGAAAGCCUGAUGCAGCAACGCCGCGUGAGCGAUGAAGGCCUUCGGGUCGUAAAGCUCUGUCCUCAAGGAAGAUAAUGACGGUACUUGAGGAGGAAGCCCCGGCUAACUACGUGCCAGCAGCCGCGGUAAUACGUAGGGGGCUAGUGUUAUCCGGAAUUACUGGGCGUAAAGGGUGCGUAGGUGGUUUCUUAAGUCAGAGGUGAAAGGCUACGGCUCAACCGUAGUAAGCCUUUGAAACUGGGAAACUUGAGUGCAGGAGAGGAGAGUGGAAUUCCUAGUGUAGCGGUGAAAUGCGUAGAUAUUAGGAGGAACACCAGUUGCGAAGGCGGCUCUCUGGACUGUAACUGACACUGAGGCACGAAAGCGUGGGGAGCAAACAGGAUUAGAUACCCUGGUAGUCCACGCCGUAAACGAUGAGUACUAGCUGU
rnacentral:rRNA from 1 species